rnacentral:misc_RNA from 1 species
UAUGUUACAAAACAAUGUAAUAUAUGAUCAAGACCCAUCCAACCGUUGAUUCUACGGUUAUUUGAUCCAAGGGUCUGAUGCCCUUUGUACACAUGUAUAUAUAUGAAGAUCCCUGCAAUAAACAGACAACACCAGUCAUUUGUCUCAUUUGCUCUUGUCUCUCCACUGAUUACCACUGAGCACUGCAAGAGAUUGCAACACGUUAUCAGCACUGUCUCAAGGGAGAAAUCAGAGAAGGGGAAGAGGAAGAACACGCUGUUCUUGACAAGAACAGCAAGAUCGAUCUGCACAUCAACAGCAAGGUAUGGAGCAUACCGUUUCCAUACGCAUACGCCGUAUGCGCGAAGUUCUUCAUAUUGUUGAUGAUGCAAUGUUGGAAGCGUUCACCGUUGGGCAAGCCACUGCACUCCCACCGGUGCACGAGAUCCCUGAACGCCGUGUGCAAGUGCAAAAUGUGCACUUCUGCGUUCUCCAUGGAUGGACAGCGGUGGUUCCGCUGCCGGUGGUGGAGUGUGGACUCCCCACUGCAUCCCCGUCGCCACCGGCGCCGGUGUUUGACGCGGGAUCGUCUGCAUCGGCCCCUAUGGAUGUCGAUUUGGCAGCACCACCACCGCCUCCGCCCACUGCAGCAGCAGUUGCUCGUCAUUCGCCAUCUCCACCAGUGCCUAUGGUCGUCGGGACCAUUGCUGCCCGUCGUGGACAGCCCCCUCGUGCCGUCGAUGCUCCGCGUGGACGCAUCAUCUUCACAGGCCAUCGCCCAAAUGGGGUGGCCCCGUCUUCCUCCUCCAAUGGGAGGGCCUAAUGGCCCUCGAUCCGGCCGCUGUGUCGGCCGUUUGGGGGAGGGGGGUGGAGGAAUGGCGCUGCAAGCCCAGUGCUCUGGCGUGGCACUGCUCUCCGGCAUGGAGCAAAGGACAUGCAGUGAACCUGCAAUGUCGGCCCCGACCCGGCCAUGGCUCGUCUGCCAGGCUCGGCCGCGGCCCCCUCCCUGGCGGCGCUCGACGCAAUGCGACGGCGAGGAGCAGUGGCUCCGGUCAGCGGCUCGGCGCAGCCUCCUGGAGUCGCGGGCGCAGGACAAGCCCGGCGCGCGCGCGACUCGCGCUCGGCGCGGGCGCGGUAUGGCCACCUCCCGAGGGCGCUCGGCAACGGCCGGCGCUUGGUGCGGCCGCAUGCCCUGGCGCAGGCGGCUCCGCCCCGGCGAGGGCGCUCGGCGCGGCCUGGCGCGCACCAGGCGCGCGGCCAGCUACGGACGCGGCUCCCCGGCGCAGGCGUCCUUGCGCGGGCUCCUGGCGAAAAGAGGCGGGCGUGGCAUGGCCCUGGCGCGCGGCUCCCCUGCGCAAGGAGCUGCUCGGCGCGGGCUCGUGGCAGCGCGCGGCGCGGCCCACCGGCGGUGCUCGGCGCGGUCUCCGCCUCGCGCUUGGCGCGGGCACCUUGGCGCUCGGACGGGCCCCACGCAAGGCGCGCGCGCAUAGGCGUGCACAGUCGGCCCUGGCGGCGGCUGGGAGCCUUGGCGCUCGUCCCUGGCCGGCGGCUGGAAAACGCCCUGGUGGCGGCGACGGCUACAGGGGCGGUUAGGGUUGGAAACCCUAGCCGCCCCAAUAUAAAAUAGGCUUUUGGG